AACGUAGGUUCCGAGCGUUAUCCGGAUUUACUGGGCGUAAAGCGCGUUCAGGCGGUUUGGCAAGUCGGGCAUGAAAUCUCUCGGCUCAACCGGGAGAGGUUGUCCGAUACUUCCAGACUUGAGGGCAGUAGAGGGUGGUGGAAUUCCGGGUGUAGUGGUGAAAUGCGUAGAUAUUGGGAAGAACAUCAGUGGCGAAAGCGCUCUACUGGACCUUAUCUGACAUUGAGGGACGAAAGCUAGGGGAGCGAAUGGG
rnacentral:rRNA from 1 species